AUUGAACGCUGGCGGCAUGCCUUACACAUGCAAGUCGAACGGCAGCACGGGAGCAAUCCUGGUGGCGAGUGGCGAACGGGUGAGUAAUGUAUCGGAACGUGCCCAGUCGUGGGGGAUAACGUAGCGAAAGCUACGCUAAUACCGCAUACGAUCUGUGGAUGAAAGCGGGGGACCGUAAGGCCUCGCGCGAUUGGAGCGGCCGAUAUCAGAUUAGGUAGUUGGUGGGGUAAAGGCCUACCAAGCCGACGAUCUGUAGCUGGUCUGAGAGGACGACCAGCCACACUGGGACUGAGACACGGCCCAGACUCCUACGGGAGGCAGCAGUGGGGAAUUUUGGACAAUGGGCGCAAGACUGAUCCAGCAAUGCCGCGUGCAGGAUGAAGGCCUUCGGGUUGUAAACUGCUUUUGUACGGAGCGAAAAGGCUCUCUCUAAUACAGGGGGCUCAUGACGGUACCGUAAGAAUAAGCACCGGCUAACUACGUGCCAGCAGCCGCAGUAAUAC
rnacentral:rRNA from 1 species